UCCGGUUUGUUUCCGGCGGUCUCCCUAGAUUUGCAACUAAGGACAAGGGUUGCGCUCGUUGCGGGACUUAACCCAACAUCUCACGACACGAGCUGACGACAGCCAUGCAACAUCUGUCUAUCCGUCCUUGCGGAGGCACCAGUUUCCUGGUGUUGCGAAUAGAUGUCAAGCCCUGGUAAGGUUAUUCGCGUCGCAUCGAAUUAAACCACACGCUCCGCUGCUUGUGCGGGUCCCCGUCAAUUCCUUUGAGUUUUAGUCUUGCGACCGUACUCCCCAGGCGGGCCACUUAAUGCGUUAGCUGCGGCACGGAAGGGGUCAACACCCCCCACACCUAGUGGCCAUCGUUUACUGCUAGGACUAC
rnacentral:misc_RNA from 1 species